rnacentral:rRNA from 1 species
CACGUAGGGGGCCAGCGUUGUCCGGAUUUAUUGGGCGUAAAGAGCUCGUAGGCGGUUCGGUAAGUUGGGUGUGAAACCUCCAGGCUCAACCUGGAGACGCCACCCGAUGCUGCUGUGACUAGAGUCCGGUAGGGGAGCGUGGAAUUCCUGGUGUAGCGGUGAAAUGCGCAGAUAUCAGGAGGAACACCAGCGGCGAAGGCGGCGCUCUGGGCCGGAACUGACGCUGAGGAGCGAAAGCGUGGGUAGCAAGCAGG